rnacentral:tRNA from 1 species
GGGCGCAUGGGUUAGUUUGGCCUAUACUCGGGGCUUUGGGAGCCUUGGACCCAGGUUCAAAUCCUGGUGCGCCCA